AACGCGAAGAACCUUACCAAAUCUUGACAUCCCGAUGACAGGCUGUGUAAAGCAGCUUCUCUUCGGAGCAUCGGUGACAGGUGGUGCAUGGUUGUCGUCAGCUCGCGUCGUGAAAUGUUGGGUUAAGUCCCGCAACGAGCGCAACCCUUGUCCUUAGUAGCCAGCAGUAAGAUGGGGACUCUAAGGAGACAGACGGAGAUAAUCCGGAGGAAGAUGGGGAUGACGUCAAAUCAUCAUGCCCCUUAUGAUUUGGGCUACACACGUGCUACAAUGGCGUAAACAAAGAGAGGCGAGAGGGCGACCUUAAGCAAAUCUCAAAAAUAACGUCUCAGUUCGGAUUGCAGGCUGCAACUCGCCUGCAUGAAGCCGGAAUCGCUAGUAAUCGCAGAUCAGCAUGCUGCGGUGAAUACGUUCCCGGGUCUUGUACACACGC
rnacentral:rRNA from 1 species